rnacentral:rRNA from 1 species
CUCAGGAUGAACGCUGGCUGCAUGCCUAAUACAUGCAUGUCGAACGAGGUGCUUGCACCUAGUGGCAAAUGGGUGAGUAACACGUACUUAACCUACCUUAUAGAAUGGAAUAACUAGGGGAAACUUUAGCUAAUACCGUAUAUGAUAUUUUUACGCAUGUUUAAUUAUUAAAAGGGGCGUUUGCCCCGCUAUAGAAUGGGAGUGCGCAACAUUAGUUAGUUGGUGGGGUAAUGGCCUACCAAGACAAUGAUGUUUAGCGGAGUUGAGAGACUGAACCGCCACACUGGGACUGAGAUACGGCCCAGACUCCUACGGGAGGCAGCAGUAGGGAAUUUUCACAAUGAACGAAAGUUUGAUGAAGCAAUGCAGCGUGCAGGAUGAAGGUCUUCGGAUUGUAAACUGCUGUUAUAUAGGGAAGAAAAAUAGAUUAGGAAAUGAAUUUAUCUUGACGGUACAUAUUAGAAAGUGACGGCUAACUAUGUGCCAGCAGCCGCGGUAAACCG